UAUUUAUUUAAUUCUGGUUAGUGAAGAAGGUGAAAUAAAUAUACAUAAGGUUUGAUUAGGGAUUGUUCAUCGUAGGUUUAUGUGAUUUCCUUAGUAGUUAAAACUUGUUUAUCGGGGCAACCCGGUUUGGAUUAUUUCAUAUAAAGUGGUUAAUGCUCAGUGCCAGCAUCCGCGGUUAUUCUGUUAGCUUUUUCUUCUUGUUGGUGGAAAUGGUUUGGAGGUUAUGUGAUAAUGCAGGAGUAGAAUCUUAUUGUCUUUGAAAUAAUUUUCUUAGUCGUUGAGAGCUUUCUAUGAUUAAUGAGGAUUAGAUACCCUUUUAUAGGAAGGUAAAGUUUUUUCCUUAGUAAAAACUAAAAGGAUUUGGCAGCUAACGAAGUUCGUCCGGGGGAACGUGUAUCUUAAAAGAUAGUCCGCUUAUUAGUUUACCCUCUUUAUUUAUGUUAGUGUAUAUCCGGUUUUAAAUCCGUAGUUAGUGCUAUAGGGUGUAACAGGUUUGUUUAAGCCAGGUCGAUGUGCUGCUGAUGAGGGGGUGUUUUAUGCGUUACUUUAUUAAAGGGUUUAUCUCGUAGGAGAUAGGAAUGUUUAGGACUCGGAAGUAAGUGAUUGGUGCUUUGUGGUAGAAGGGAGUGCUUUUUGUUGAAGGUGAUUUAGUUGGGGUACACACCGCCCGUCACCCAGGGCGUUAGCCGUGGUAAGUCGUAACAUGGUAACGUUGGGGGAACCGAACGUUAGUUGGUU
rnacentral:rRNA from 1 species